UGAUGUCGCUCUCCUGAGCUACAUCCUGUUACGCAGGCUAAUAACUCGGCCGGGGAUUGGUUGAUUUAGAUGAUUGACACCCCGUUUUAACCGUAAGAGCCAAUAGAUGUUAGGGGCAAUAUCGAAAUGUGGGCCAGACACAUGAUUGGCUAACAGUAAGGAAGCAAAUACAACUAGCGCGAAACCAACUUCGAUGCAUGCUUCAUGAAAGGAAGGCAUCUUACACUAAGAAUAAGUGAGGUUCACAUUAAAACUGGUUGUAAACAAACGCAGACAUGUUUGACGUACUAAAACCGGAGUUUUUUGCUCUCAAGUACAACUUUUCAUCAAAAAAUCGCAAAGGUAAGACAGAAUAUAUGUUAGUCUCUGUCAAUAAGUGGUUGUAUACCUAUGUAAUCUUUGGCUGCUGGUUCACUGACUUCUUAUCGUAGGGCCUUGACAGUGGUAAUGUCGAACUCGUCAUGGUCUUAGCUUUCAUUUGAGAUGAUAUUUGUUUGUGUACAAUGAAGUAUGGGUGCGGUAGCAAUGGAAAUGUGGAGAGUGGGUUCACUUUCUGACGCUAUUCAGAUUUUGAUAUUGGAUAAUUCAUAUGCUUGGCGUUUGAGUUGUGUUUGGUGUGUGUGUGUAUAAAUAUAUGUGCUUGUAGCGGAGUUUCUCGUGUUUAAUUUGAUGUGCAGUAUGACUAUUUCGACAUAAUAAGGGCAGUGUUGUAGGCAUUUCGCUGCGAGAGUGAUCGAGAGUCCCCAAAUAUGGGGACCUUCGAGCUUAAAACCAUAAUCUUGGCCUUUGCUGCAAAUUAAAUUUUAUAAUAACCAUGGUGUAGUGACUACAUUAUGGGUUCGUGUUCCCCUCUUACUGAUCGAGUGGGAGGGAACCGGCUAUGAGUCACCGGGUCUAGGGGGACUGUUGAUGCGGUUGCACGAGUUGUUCUAGCCAUGCGCUGUGACUGUGUUCGAAAUCGUUCCCUAUACACUCGUUCCCUAUUCCCUAUAUAGUGUACAUGAUUUAGUGCACUAUAUAGGGAAUAGGGAACGAGAAUUCGGACACUACGCUGAACAUUUCUAAACGUCAUUUGCGUCAGUAAAUGCGCCGGGUAUUUGUGUGACGCAGACAGAUGCGCCCACAUCAUGUAAACAAACCAGGCACUCACGAGGAAAGCUGGAGGUUGUAUUGAUGUUGAAUGUUACAUUUCCUUGUUCAAGUAUUUUUUUUAUUAAUUUUGAAUGUUAAAUAUUCUAUGUUAAAUCCCAAAUAAAUUGUUGACAUUUCUAAACGAAA